CAGCCGCCGCGGUAAUACGGAGGGUGCAAGCGUUAUCCGGAUUUAUUGGGUUUAAAGGGUCCGUAGGCGGACUUAUAAGUCAGUGGUGAAAGCCUGUCGCUUAACGAUAGAACUGCCUUGAUACUGUAAGUCUUGAGUAUAUUUGAGGUAGCUGGAAUAAGUAGUGUAGCGGUGAAAUGCAUAGAUAUUACUUAGAACACCAAUUGCGAAGGCAGGUUACCAAGAUAUAACUGACGCUGAGGGACGAAAGCGUGGGUAGCGAACAGGAUUAGAUACCCCCGUAGUCCCUGUCUCUUAUACA
rnacentral:rRNA from 1 species